rfam:Puccinia sorghi strain RO10H11247 Scaffold_1415, whole genome shotgun sequence.
GCGGACUUAGCUCAAUGGUAGAGCACCUUGCAUGUGUUGAGGGGUUGCAGAUUCGAGUCCUGUAGUCCACA